GGGCCCGCACAAGCGGUGGAGUAUGUGGUUUAAUUCGAUGCAACGCGAAGAACCUUACCAGGGUUUGACAUCCUGCGAAUCUCUUGGAAACUUGAGAGUGCCUUCGGGAGCGCAGUGACAGGUGGUGCAUGGCUGUCGUCAGCUCGUGUCGUGAGAUGUUGGGUUAAGUCCCGCAACGAGCGCAACCCACGUCUUUAGUUGCCAGCAGUUCGGCUGGGCACUCUAUGGAAACUGCCCGUGAUAAGCGGGAGGAAGGUGUGGAUGACGUCAAGUCCUCAUGGCCCUUACGGGUUGGGCUACACACGUGCUACAAUGGUAGUGACAAAAAGUUGCAAGUUCGCGAGAGCAAGCU
rnacentral:rRNA from 1 species